rnacentral:rRNA from 1 species
GACAGAGGGGGCAAGCGUUGCUCGGAAUUACUGGGCGUAAAGGGCGCGUAGGCGGGAUGGCAAGUCGGUCGUGAAAUCCCUCGGCUCAACCGAGGAACGUCGAUCGAUACUGCUGUUCUUGAGGAUUGCAGAGGAGACUGGAAUUCCCGGUGUAGCGGUGAAAUGUGUAGAGAUCGGGAGGAACACCGGUGGCGAAGGCGCUCUGCUGGACCAUAACUGACACUCAGGGACGAAAGCUAGGGGAGCGAACGGG